rnacentral:rRNA from 1 species
UUUUAUGGAGAGUUUGAUCCUGGCUCAGGAUGAACGCUGGCGGCGUGCCUAAUACAUGCAAGUCGAGCGAACGGACGAGAAGCUUGCUUCUCUGAUGUUAGCGGCGGACGGGUGAGUAACACGUGGAUAACCUACCUAUAAGACUGGGAUAACUUCGGGAAACCGGAGCUAAUACCGGAUAAUAUUUUGAACCGCAUGGUUCAAAAGUGAAAGACGGUCUUGCUGUCACUUAUAGAUGGAUCCGCGCUGCAUUAGCUAGUUGGUAAGGUAACGGCUUACCAAGGCAACGAUGCAUAGCCGACCUGAGAGGGUGAUCGGCCACACUGGAACUGAGACACGGUCCAGACUCCUACGGGAGGCAGCAGUAGGGAAUCUUCCGCAAUGGGCGAAAGCCUGACGGAGCAACGCCGCGUGAGUGAUGAAGGUCUUCGGAUCGUAAAACUCUGUUAUUAGGGAAGAACAUAUGUGUAAGUAACUGUGCACAUCUUGACGGUACCUAAUCAGAAAGCCACGGCUAACUACGUGCCAGCAGCCGCGGUAAUACGUAGGUGGCAAGCGUUAUCCGGAAUUAUUGGGCGUAAAGCGCGCGUAGGCGGUUUUUUAAGUCUGAUGUGAAAGCCCACGGCUCAACCGUGGAGGGUCAUUGGAAACUGGGAAACUUGAGUGCAGAAGAGGAAAGUGGAAUUCCAUGUGUAGCGGUGAAAUGCGCAGAGAUAUGGAGGAACACCAGUGGCGAAGGCGACUUUCUGGUCUGUAACUGACGCUGAUGUGCGAAAGCGUGGGGAUCAAACAGGAUUAGAUACCCUGGUAGUCCACGCCGUAAACGAUGAGUGCUAAGUGUUAGGGGGUUUCCGCCCCUUAGUGCUGCAGCUAACGCAUUAAGCACUCCGCCUGGGGAGUACGACCGCAAGGUUGAAACUCAAAGGAAUUGACGGGGACCCGCACAAGCGGUGGAGCAUGUGGUUUAAUUCGAAGCAACGCGAAGAACCUUACCAAAUCUUGACAUCCUUUGACAACUCUAGAGAUAGAGCCUUCCCCUUCGGGGGACAAAGUGACAGGUGGUGCAUGGUUGUCGUCAGCUCGUGUCGUGAGAUGUUGGGUUAAGUCCCGCAACGAGCGCAACCCUUAAGCUUAGUUGCCAUCAUUAAGUUGGGCACUCUAAGUUGACUGCCGGUGACAAACCGGAGGAAGGUGGGGAUGACGUCAAAUCAUCAUGCCCCUUAUGAUUUGGGCUACACACGUGCUACAAUGGACAAUACAAAGGGCAGCGAAACCGCGAGGUCAAGCAAAUCCCAUAAAGUUGUUCUCAGUUCGGAUUGUAGUCUGCAACUCGACUACAUGAAGCUGGAAUCGCUAGUAAUCGUAGAUCAGCAUGCUACGGUGAAUACGUUCCCGGGUCUUGUACACACCGCCCGUCACACCACGAGAGUUUGUAACACCCGAAGCCGGUGGAGUAACCUUUUAGGAGCUAGCCGUCGAAGGUGGGACAAAUGAUUGGGGUGAAGUCGUAACAAGGUAGCCGUAUCGGAAGGUGCGGCUGGAUCACCUCCUUUCUAA